UGGGCGAAAGCCUGAUCCAGCAAUGCCGCGUGAGUGAUGAAGGCCUUAGGGUUGUAAAGCUCUUUUACCAGGGAUGAUAAUGACAGUACCUGGAGAAUAAGCUCCGGCUAACUCCGUGCCAGCAGCCGCGGUAAUAAU
rnacentral:rRNA from 1 species